GAAAUACAAGGAUAUAUGUCACUAUGCAUCCUUUACAUUCCAGCAUGAUUAAGGUUCGCUAUAGGUACAGUUGAUAGUCUGUAUUAGUAUUUCAUUCACCAUGCCUUUAUAUAGCAAUUAUUACAGUUAUAAUAUGCAUGACACCAUCAGUGUAGAAAGAGACAUUUCUUAAAUCUAUGUCAUAAGAACACAUAUAGUAUACAAAUUACACUAAUUAGCCUUCAUGGAUGGUGGCUAAAAGCAACUUAGGUGAUGGAUUUGAUUUGAUUUUACUUGACACAGGAGUUUCCAUGACUUUGCUGAGUUAAUUUAGAAAUCUUAGGGUGCUGUCCUGUUCAGUUAAAGAUAAAUGGUAAACAAACUCUAAAAUCUCCAGAAUAAAGACCUAAGAUAAUUAGAAGGUGCAUCUGUGCAAGGCCAUCAGGUAUGAGCCCUACGAGCAAAUACCCAGUUGAGUGUGGAGUUUUUCAGGUACCCAGUCUUAUCAUCAAUGAGGGUUGUAGGGUUUGGAUACUCUAGCCACUCUCUCUCAUAGACAAUGAAGAUCCUAUGCUUACAUAGCUUUUGCCAUAGUAACAGGGAUCCUGUUUUUUCCCCCUCAGGGUUUCUGAUAAGUUUGCUGUUCUGACCUUAAACUGACUUUAUUUCAACUGGAGUCAAGGACAGUUUGUAUAAUUACAGUAAAGUGUGACCAAAAUUUAUAUGAAACAGAUUGACAAUAAAAAGGGGAAAAGAGGUAGAGAAAAAUUGUCCCUUGUUGACAGAGGCAACUGCAGGAUCUGCCAACUUUCAUACAUGUGUGCAACAUGAUGCAAGUGCUAAAAAAAAGUGGAGCUUGCAGCGUAACAUCGUUUUUGUCACUUAUUUUCCCUUGACCCCCUGCAGACACCUUUGGCUCAUUAGGAUUGGCUAGUUCCAAAUAUUCCAAUACUGGCUGUUCUUCCAAAUUUACCAGAAGUAAUAAAUAAUUAUACUCAGAAGCACUUUGAACAAUUAAAACAACUUCUGUAUGAAAAUAAUAUAUAGUACAUAUGUAGCCUAAAAGAUUACAAUAGAACUUAUAUCUACAGAUCUACAUAUUGAAAGCAUAAUCCAGCUCAUUUGUUAUGACUCUACAUACUUCAAAAGUGAUUCAGAAGAGUUUCAGAUCUUCCAUGAACACAGCAUGCCACUACUAUUAAAUCUUUUUCAGACUACCACACAACCUUAAAAAAGAUUUUAAUCUUUAAAAAUCAUAAUAAAAAGGCAUUUUUUCAGGCUCUGGAAAACCUGGGGAAAAAAAGUAUGUUUAGCAGAGAGCUCUCAAUGCUCACAAGAGACUUGGAGUACUUCUAAAUCAUUUUCGAAGUGUGCACUGCCCUAAAGUCUCUAAAGCCAGAGCCUCCUAACUGGGUUAGCAUCCUAAGGUCUGUUUCUAAACACACAAAAUCUUACAUAUUCAAGUAACCUUGUAGUUUAUUUCUUAUCUUACUGCAGAAUGAAUAUUCCUUUCUUGCAGUAGAACUGCAUACACAAUAUGUCUUCACAUUUCUGAACUGACAUAUGAAGUAACUCAACCAAUAGUGAUGUCAUCUGCUUCCAUAGAAACAGAAUGCUACUCUUUCUUAGAAGACCUUCACUGAUACUGUAUGUGUGUAUGCAAUGUCUUGAUCCGUGGAUAUCUGCCAAAUUCAUUAACAGAAGCAAGAGCUUGAAAGCCAUAAACAUCUUGAGAGACCCUUUGAAGGAUGACUGAAUUUGUUAAUCUGAGUAUACUAGAACUCUCAGAAAAACUACCUCAAUUAACAGCAAAUGUCAAGAAACUGAAUGACAGAUUUAUGGCUUUCUUAAACAUUGAAACAAAAAUGCAAAGAGCAAAAAUGGAAACUAAAAAAAUCACCAAUACUUGCAGCUACAGGCAUCUAAAAUCAUUAUUUAGAAGUAAAAAACAGCAUGGGAAGUACCAGACUGUGAAAAACAAACGUGGAAAUAAAGCUAAGAAAGAAAGAAACAAAAGCAAACUUGCAUCUUUCUUUGGACUGUUGAAGAAGCUAAGCUCCUGGAGGAUCAGACAUAAACAGACAAUUGAUGAAGAUCAGGAACUGAUUCCACUAGAUUUAUUUGAUGUUUCUCAUGAGAUAGUAGAAGUUAUCUGAUACUCUGUUUUCCUUUCUACUUUAAUGUGUUAUACACAUUGUGAUUUUUUGAAAAUAAAACAAUACAUUA